ACUGGUAGCGUGGAUUAGGCAUGCAAGUCGAACGGGAUCGCCGAGUUAGCAAUAAUGAGGCGUGAGAGUGGCGGAAGGGCGAGGAACACGUGAGCAAUCUGUCCAUGAGGUGAGGAAAACUCCGGGAAACUGGAGCUAAUACUGAAUGUGUCGCCCCUGCGCAUGCAGGGAGCGGUAAAGGGGGCCGCAAGGCUCUCCCUCAACGAGGAGCUCGCGCACCAUCAGCUUGUUGGCGGGGUAACGGCCCACCAAGGCUUACGGUUAGCUGGUCUGAGAGGAUGGCCAGCCGCACUGGGACUGAGAUACUGCCCAGACUCCUACGGGAGGCUGCAGUCGAGGAUCAUUCGCAAUGGACGAAAGUCUGACGAUGCGACGCUGCGUGGAAGGAUGAAGGCCUUCGGGUUGUAAACUCCUGUCAUGAGGGAAAAGGAGAGGGUACCCAAUACGUACUUGAUUUGAUGGUACCUCAAGAGGAAGGGGCGGCUAACUCUGUGCCAGCCGCUGC
rnacentral:rRNA from 1 species